rnacentral:rRNA from 1 species
AUUGAACGCUGGCGGCAUGCUUUACACAUGCAAGUCGAACGGUAACAGGUCUUCGGAUGCUGACGAGUGGCGAACGGGUGAGUAACACAUCGGAACGUGCCUAGUAGUGGGGGAUAACUACUCGAAAGAGUAGCUAAUACCGCAUGAGAUCUAAGGAUGAAAGCAGGGGACCUUCGGGCCUUGCGCUACUAGAGCGGCUGAUGGCAGAUUAGGUAGUUGGUGGGAUAAAAGCUUACCAAGCCGACGAUCUGUAGCUGGUCUGAGAGGACGACCAGCCACACUGGGACUGAGACACGGCCCAGACUCCUACGGGAGGCAGCAGUGGGGAAUUUUGGACAAUGGGCGAAAGCCUGAUCCAGCAAUGCCGCGUGCAGGAUGAAGGCCCUCGGGUUGUAAACUGCUUUUGUACGGAACGAAAAGACUCUCUCUAAUAAAGAGGGUUGAUGACGGUACCGGAAGAAUAAGCACCGGCUAACUACGUG